GGGAUUCAAGUCUUGACUAAACCAGACAAAUUCAUUCAGAAGCAGCAGGGGUGGGAGAAAUUCUAGAGACUGACUGAGUAAAACAAUCCCCUGUCCUUGGAAGAGUUUGAAGACUAUUAUUCUGAGCACAGCUACGUGCCUCCUGAGUUGGGAAGAUUCCUGCUCCAUGCAUGUUCCCUGUCAAGGAGAGAAAUGCCCCAUGAUUCAAGCGCCACAUUUCUGGGAAAGGAAGGAGCAGUUGGAGGUUGCAGGUAGGAUUGGUGUGAAAUGUGCCAGAGACUUGAACAAGGGUCCUCAACAGACGUUCCACCUCUCUGUUUUGAAACUGAUCCUGGAAGUCUUUAAGAUUAAUGGUUCCACACUGAGGAUGUCAGAUUCGGAGCUUUCUAAGGAAGCUGCUGCCUUAAAAUACGCCAAGAGAAUUCCUAUUGUUCAGGUGACAUAAUGAGGCUGAGAUGCAAAUGCAGAGGGAAGCAGUAGCUGGUAUGUUUUGACUGAUUCCUU